UACGUAGGGGGCAAGCGUUGUCCGGAAUCAUUGGGCGUAAAGCGCGUGUAGGCGGCUUGGUAAGUCCGCUCUGAAAGCCCGGGGCUCAACCCCGGGAGGCGGGUGGAUACUGUCAAGCUCGAGUCCGGAAGAGGCGAGUGGAAUUCCUGGUGUAGCGGUGAAGUGCGCAGAUAUCAGGAGGAACACCGAUGGCGAAGGCAGGUCUCUGGGCAUUAACUGACGCUGAGGAGCGAAAGCAUGGGGAGCGAACAGG
rnacentral:rRNA from 1 species